CAUGUGUCAUAGAUACCAAUAACAAAUUCCAAUCUACAGAGCCAUAGGCCUUGAUUAAAUCAAUUUUGAACACACACCUUGUUGGUCCUUCAUUUCUGUGAUAAACUCUAACCACCUCUUGCAUCAAUAAAAUGUUAUCAAGUGAGUAGAAAGCUUAUCCAGAACAUAACUUUGGUUGCUGCUCUAAUCUUACACCUCAUCCAGGGUGGAAUGGAAAAAAACACAUAUAUAGACAUGGGAGAUUUUGUUUCUUGUUUUUCCUCAAAGUUGUUUCUCCCCUUUUCCACAAACCUUGUCCCAGUUAUUUAUUUUGGUUGAGUCACAAAGUUGAUUGUCUUUUAGCCAAACUAGAAAUUAGACAAAUUUGGGAUGCAAGGAAGUGAUACGUAUGGCUGCAUUUCUUUAAAAUUAUUGAUAUAUUUUUAGCUCUUCUCCUUUUUGUCUAAAUUGGAGAGGGGUUGUUGAAAAUUGGAUUGGCAACAAAACUGCAAGAGCCUCUAUAGCUUGUAAAUACCAAUGUAAUUCUUUUUCUAGUUUUCUUCUUUUUCUAAAAGUCAAAGUCAAGUCUCUAAAAGUAUAGUUUUCGUUUUGCAUUUCAAGAAGGUGAUUCUAUUUCUUUCAGGUUUCUGUCUGGUGGGUUUUGUGCUUUUUUUUCUUCUUCUUUUUGUUUAUUUUUUUUUAAGUUACUACAGAAAUCUAUCUAUAGAUUCUGUAAGUGUUUGAUGCCAUGUCUUUAUGUCUGUUUUAUUUUAUUUUAUUUUUGUUUCUUUCAAUAUUAUUCAUUUUGUGGAGUACCAAAGACUCGUGUGCUUAUUUGGAUGACUACUGAGCUUGUAGAUCUGUGAUUAUUCUCCUGAUCAACAUAGAAGCUUUGAUGGAACUAGUAACUCUUUGAUUGGUUUCUGAUGACGUUUAUUAGAAGCAUACUUGCAAAUCAAGAUCAAGUGUUGAAUUUUUUUUCUUGAACUGAUACUUGUUCUAGUUUUAAACCUAGUUGACUGAUAUUUUUUUUGUUGGACUCCGCGUUAGUUCAUUUUGGAAUUUGUUAUGAUGGUUUUUUUUAUUAUACUUAAUGAAUUAUUAUUAAAUUUGUUUGAUGGAUAUAUUUUCAUUUAUGAUAUAAAUUGUUUAGUGAAUUA